GUCGGUGUGGCUCAGUUGGUUAGAGCGUUGGUCUCAUAGCAUGACUUGGCCCAAGGUCAGGGACAUCCAAAGGUCGAGAGUUCGAGCCUCUCCACCGACA
rfam:Nectria haematococca mpVI 77-13-4 chromosome 7 genomic scaffold NECHAsca_58_chr7_9_0, whole genome shotgun sequence.